rnacentral:rRNA from 1 species
UACGUAGGCAGCAAGCGUUGUUCGGAGUUACUGGGCGUAAAGGGGGUGUAGGCGGUUCUUUAAGUUUGGUGUGAAAUCUCCCGGCUUAACCGGGAGGGUGCGCCGAAUACUGAGGGACUAGAGUACGGGAGAGGAAAGUGGAAUUCCUGGUGUAGCGGUGAAAUGCGUAGAUAUCAGGAGGAACACCGGUGGUGUAGACGGCUUUCUGGACCGUAACUGACGCUGAGACACGAAAGCGUGGGUAGCAAACAGG